UCCAGACUCCUACGGGAGGCAGCAGUGGGGAAUAUUGGGCAAUGGACGCAAGUCUGACCCAGCAACGCCACGUGAAGGAAGAAGGCUUUCGGGUUGUAAACUUCUUUUAAGGGGGAAGAGGAGAAGACGGUACCCCUUGAAUAAGCCACGGCUAACUACGUGCCAGCAGCCGCGGUAAUACGUAGGGGGCGAGCGUUAUCCGGAUUUACUGGGUGUAAAGGGAGCGUAGACGGUUUUUCAAGUCUGAAGUGAAAGCCCGCGGCUCAACUGCGGAACGGCUUUGGAAACUGAGGGACUAGGGUGCUGGAGGGGCAGGCGGAAUUCCUAGUGUAGCGGUGAAAUGCGUAGAUAUUAGGAGGAACACCAGUGACGAAGGCGGCUUACUGGACUGUAACUGACGUUGAGGCUCGAAAGCGUGGGGAGCAAACAGGAUUAGAUACCCCAGUAC
rnacentral:rRNA from 1 species